CCUGAGGAUUUCGUGAGCAGCGAUUACAUAAGGGGAAUGCAUAACAGGUUACCGAACGCAGGCUUCUUUCUGCCAUAUGCAUAGUUGACCCAGAGAAAAAACCUGGAGAACCGAUAAUCCUAGCACAAGGUCACGGGAGACACGUCAGGGGAUACCAACGUCACGGACCGAUACAUUAAAAGAGAAUAUGAAAUAAGGAUAGGAAAGUGCCGCCGAUCGCGCAGUCAUUCCUGACGUCCUGUGCUCCAUAACGCGUGUCUACACGAUGUAUAAGUACACGAGUGUCGUCAUAUAUUUCUGGACCUUCGUUAAACGUCGAAGGGGGACUUGCAUGAGAAAUGCAGAGACGUGAGUCCGAUCACGUAGAUCCAAUGGUUGACAUCAUUAGCAGUCAUUGUGAUAUCUCCUGGCCGCAGGACGAAUCCUACUGAUGCAAAUUCACAAAAAGAAGGAGAGAAUAAGAAUACAUGGAAUUCGCAGUCGUUUUUACUCGUUCGAUCGAUCCAUACGUGCCUACUUCUUAAACUAGGGGCCAUCGCACAAUGUUCCAUAGCGUAAAGAAGACCCCUGAUGUCGCGACUUCACUAUGCACUUGCUUAACCACGGUAUCUAUUGCUGUGUACUCCUGAUCGCUUGUUCUUUAUUUCUUCUACGCAUUGUUCCAGAGAUUUUUUAGUUAUAUUUCUUAUUCACGAUGCUCCUUUAGCUUCUUGCUUAUUCUAACACCUUGAAUCUUUCCCUUUGUCUUAUUUGUCCAAACAGGCGAUAUAUGAGAGCGCAUACUCCAGCUCGCGAGUGAAAUGUAUUUUCUUGACGAACUAAAAACAAUGUGGCUUGCUAAAUAUGUUAUUAUUAUUUUCCACGUAUAAAAAGAAAAUAACAUUGUACCCAUAGACCCACUAUUAAUGGGAAUAUUGUGAAAGAGACGUAUCUAAAAAUAAAUGAAAACUGUCUUAUUGAAAUACGAUUGGAGUAAAAGGUUUUAUUUAAUGGUAAAAAAAUAAGUCUAUGCUAUUCCGUAACAUUGAAAUGUACAGUACUGCAUUUGUCCUUUUGGAACGACGUAUAUUGAUAAUAACGAUAAAUAUUCUGUGUACAAUAGCGCACAUAAAAAGUAGAGGCAGAAAUACCAGAAAGAUUCAGCAUCAGUCCAUUUAAUAAAGACUAUUGGUCGUGACAUUCACUGGAACAGGUCUCGUGGUAGUCACGCACGAUUACCAAUUUGAUCUUAUCCACAGGACAAUAAAAAAGAACGUACAAAAAAGUUUACUAUAACGAAAACAAAACAGGACAUAACAUAAGACUGCGUGUGCCGCAGGUUUUAUCAUGCACAGUACAUCUUGUAUAUCAGGCGACGAAAUACAGUCCAAAAAAAAGAGAGUAAGCUAAGAAAAAGCACCAAAUCGUGUCCGAGUGUCAAUCUGUCUUCCUUAAUUAAUAUUUCAAACAGAAAAUCCAGCUUCGACAUAAUUUCGAUGAAACAUAAUUUCAAUGUACAUAACAAACCGAAGCAUCCUCGCAUACUAUGUACGUAUAUCCACAUGCGCAAAGGGCCCAACCGAACCGUUCGACGGUCCAGAGUGGAAUGAGCAGCACGAGAGUCGAGCGAAAAAAAAAACCCAAAG